GCACCCGUAGCUCAACUGGAUAGAGCAAGUCCCUUGUAAGGCUUAGGUUGCUGGUUCGAGUCAGCCGGGUGCGCCA
rnacentral:tRNA from 1 species